rnacentral:tRNA from 1 species
AGAUACAGCUCAAUGGGUAGAAUGCUUGUCUGACAUGCAGGAGGCCCUGGGUUUGAUUCCCAGUACCU